rnacentral:rRNA from 1 species
AUUGAACGCUGGCGGCAGGCCUAACACAUGCAAGUCGAACGAGUGGCGGACGGGUGAGUAAUGUCUGGGAAACUGCCUGAUGGAUGGGGAUAACUACUGGAAACGGUAGCUACUACCGCAUACCAUCAGAUGUGCCCAGAUGGGAUUAGCUAGUAGGUGGGGUAACGGCUCACCUAGGCGACGAUCCCUAGCUGGUCUGAGAGGAUGACCAGCCACACUGGAACUGAGACACGGUCCAGACGCCUACGGGAGGCAGCAGUGGGGAAUAUUGGACAAUGGGGGCAAGCCUGAUGCAGCCAUGCCGCGUGUGUGAAGAAGGCCUUCGGGUUGUAAAGCACUUUCAGCGGGGAGGCGUUACCCGCAGAAGAAGCACCGGCUAACUCCGUGCCAGCAGCCGCGGUAAUUC